rnacentral:rRNA from 1 species
UAAUGUAUGGGGAUCUGCCCGAUAGAGGGGGAUAACUACUGGAAACGGUGGCUAAUACCGCAUAAUGUCUACGGACCAAAGCAGGGGCUCUUCGGACCUUGCACUAUUGGAUGAACCCAUAUGGGAUUAGCUAGUAGGUGGGGUAAAGGCUCACCUAGGCGACGAUCUCUAGCUGGUCUGAGAGGAUGAUCAGCCACACUGGGACUGAGACACGGCCCAG